rnacentral:piRNA from 1 species
UCAUUCAAGACCUUGAUAGUGGUGGU